GGGACGAACGCUGGCGGCGUGCUUAACACAUGCAAGUCGAGCGGAAAGGCCCUUCGGGGUACUCGAGCGGCGAACGGGUGAGUAACACGUGAGUAACCUGCCCCUAGCUCUGGGAUAGCUCCGGGAAACCGGGAUUAAAUACCAGAUACGACCACUUUAGACAUCUGUCGUGGUGGAAAGGAUUCCGGCUAGGGAUGGGCUCGCGGCCUAUCAGCUUGUUGGUGGGGUAACGGCCUACCAAGGCGACGACGGGUA
rnacentral:rRNA from 1 species